rnacentral:misc_RNA from 1 species
GAAAAUUCGACUACAGAAGCAAAAGGUGUUGAUUCAAUGUUUCCCAGAUUGAUUCAAUCGCAAGAAGAUGAAUUUAUUCAUGGCUGUGAUGUUAAUGUCGGGAUUCAUCAUCAUAAUAGGGUUAAUGGAGACCCUUGUCUUGUGUUAACUUCAGAUCCCAAACCUCGUCUUCGAUGGACUGCUGAUCUUCAUGAACGAUUCAUUGAUGCUGUUACUCAACUUGGCGGACCCAGUAAAGCUACUCCAAAGGCAAUAAUGCGGACAAUGGGAGUCAAGGGACUGACUCUCUUCCACCUAAAGAGCCACCUUCAGAAAUACCGACUAGGACUUACAGCUACGUAUUCAUUAGAAAGCCCUUGUUCUGGUGGUACUCCUCAGCAGUUGCCUGCAUCAGACUUGAAUGAAGGUUUUGAAGUCAAGGAGGCAUUGAGAGCUCAAAUGGAAGUGCAAAGUAAAUUGCACCUCCAAGUUGAAGCUGAGAAGCACUUGCAAAUUCGGCAGGAUGCUGAACAAAGAUAUAUUACCAUGCUGGAGAAGGCCUGUAAAAUGCUCGCUGAUCAAUUCAUCGGUGAUGUAGUUACUGAAAAUCACCAAGAGACUUACCAAGGACUAAAUACGAAGACACAACUUAGCCCUUUAUGUAAUCCACAUGGAUUGUGCCCCUCGGAGUCUGCUGACUUUGUUGGAGUCCAUGGUCCAGAAGACGUUUCCCCCAGAAUCCAUCCACAACGCACGGAUUGUUCCACUGAAAGCUGCUUAACUUCGCAUGAGAGCCCCGCUGGACUUCCUCUAGAAGGAUCUUCACCUGGAGGGAAAAAGCGAGGGCUUAGUGGUGAUUCAACACAAGCAUCAUAUGUUUGGGGUGAAGCAGAUAUGAGAUCAUCCGGUGUUCACGUGCUACCAGUUAAUUGCUUUGGUAUUUCUGGCUCUAAUGUUCAAAAUGUCUCUAAUUAAGAGAUUAAGCCAAGUCCGUCCAUAGUCAUUGCUUUGCACAUUGCAGUUUCUGGGAAGUCCAAUG